AACGAACGCUGGCGGCAGGCCUAACACAUGCAAGUCGAACGCCGUAGCAAUACGGAGUGGCAGACGGGUGAGUAACGCGUGGGAACCUACCUUACGGUCGGGAAUAGCUCAGGGAAACUUGGGGUAAUACCGGAUACGCCCUUACGGGGAAAGAUUUAUCGCCGUUAGAUGGGCCCGCGUAGGAUUAGCUAGUUGGUGAGGUAAUGGCUCACCAAGGCGACGAUCCUUAGCUGGUCUGAAAGGAUGAUCAGCCACACUGGGACUGAGACACGGCCCAGACUCCUACGGGAGGCAGCAGUGGGGAAUAUUGGACAAUGGGCGCAAGCCUGAUCCAGCCAUGCCGCGUGAGUGACGAAGGCCUUAGGGUUGUAAAGCUCUUUUGGCGGGGAAAAUAAUGACGGUACCCGCAGAAUAAGCUCCGGCUAACUUCGUGCCAGCCGCCGCGGUAACAC
rnacentral:rRNA from 1 species